rnacentral:rRNA from 1 species
UACGGAGGAUGCAAGCGUUAUCCGGAAUGAUUGGGCGUAAAGCGCGCGUAGGCGGCUUUGCAAGUCGGGUGUGAAAUCCCCAGGCUUAACCUGGGAACUGCAUUCGAGACUGCAUUGCUAGAGUAUGGGAGAGGGAAGUGGAAUUUCCGGUGUAGCGGUGAAAUGCGUAGAUAUCGGAAGGAACAUCAGUGGCGAAGGCGACUUCCUGGACCAAUACUGACGCUCAUGUGCGAAAGCGUGGGGAGCAAACAGG